AAUAGAGGCGCGGCCGACAAGAGUAGCGCGCGGGAGCCCCUGCCAGGGCGAGGAUCGCACGCGAAAGGGGAAGCCGCCGAAAUGCGAAAGCAACGGCAGGGCAAUCGCGUUGGGCAAGGGGAAAACAUCCGCUUGACUGUCAUGGUACAAGGCCAUGGAGCGCUAUUC
rnacentral:ncRNA from 1 species